GAACCGCGGUUGAGUAAUGCAUAGGAAACUGCCCAGUAGUGGGGGAUAGCCCGGGGAAACCCGGAUUAAUACCGCGUACGCCCUUCGGGGGAAAGCAGGGGAUCUUCGGACCUUGCGCUAUUGGAUGUGCCUAUGUCGGAUUAGCUAGUUGGUGGGGUAAAGGCCUACCAAGGCGACGAUCCGUAGCUGGUCUGAGAGGAUGAUCAGCCACAUCGGGACUGAGACACGGCCCGAACUCCUACGGGAGGCAGCAGUGGGGAAUAUUGGACAAUGGGGGCAACCCUGAUCCAGCCAUGCCGCGUGUGUGAAGAAGGCUUUCGGGUUGUAAAGCACUUUCAGUGAGGAGGAAAACUCUGCGACUAAUACUCGUAGGGCUUGACGUUACUCACAGAAGAAGCACCGGCUAACUCCGUGCCAGCAGCCGCGGUAAUACGGAGGGUGCAAGCGUUAAUCGGAAUUACUGGGCGUAAAGCGCGCGUAGGUGGUUUGAUAAGCGAGAUGUGAAAGCCCCGGGCUUAACCUGGGAACGGCAUUUCGAACUGUCAGGCUAGAGUGUGGUAGAGGGUAGUGGAAUUUCCUGUGUAGCGGUGAAAUGCGUAGAUAUAGG
rnacentral:rRNA from 1 species